rnacentral:rRNA from 1 species
AGUGAACGCUGGCGGCAGGCCUAACACAUGCAAGUCGAACGGCAGCACAGCAGUAGCAAUACUGUGGGUGGCGAGUGGCGGACGGGUGAGGAAUACAUCGGAAUCUACCUUGUCGUGGGGGAUAACGUAGGGAAACUUACGCUAAUACCGCAUACGAACUAUGGUUGAAAGCGGCGGACCGCAAGGCGUCGCGCGAUUGG